UACUUAACUGACAAUUAACGGCCAAAUAAAUAUAAACCCAUUAAUAAAAUAUUUAUUUCCCCACCGUUAACCCAACACAGGUGUGCACUCAAGGAAAGAUUAAAAGAAGUAAAAGGAACUCGGCAAACACAAACCCCGCCUGUUUACCAAAAACAUCACCUCUAGCAUAACUAGUAUUAGAGGCACUGCCUGCCCAGUGACAACUGUUUAACGGCCGCGGUAUCCUGACCGUGCAAAGGUAGCAUAAUCAUUUGUUCCCUAAAUAGGGACUUGUAUGAAUGGCCACACGAGGGUUUAACUGUCUCUUACUUCCAAUCAGUGAAAUUGACCUUUCCGUGAAGAGGCGGAAAUAUAAUAAUUAGACGAGAAGACCCUAUGGAGCUUUAAUUUACCUAAUCCAAUAGAACCACUGACUACCCACACAG
rnacentral:rRNA from 1 species